UCGGACAUAGUGUAUGAUACAUAGCUCCCGCCCAUGACCAGGGUUUUUCGAUGGAUUAAGGAGGCAGUCCGGGGUUCGACUCCCCGUGUCUGAA